GUAGACACCUGCAUCUUUGUAACUCUUCUCCGUUCAUCUUUCCUGCAGAAGCUGAAACUGCCCAGUGGAUUCUGUACAGCUGCUGUACUUUCCACUAAAAGUCCACUGAAAUGCCCCUCACCCUUUCUCAUAUUUUAACCACAUGGAAACUUACACAGGGACUUUCUGUAUGGUUUAGAACCACUGAGGCCUCUUGGAAGGAUCUUUUAAACUUGGAGAAGUAAUUUAAGAUACUACAGAUUUUCGUUAACUUGGUGAGCUGGCUUUGUCUCCAAGCAUGACUUCUGAGUACAGUGGGUGAGGGGCUUCAGGCAGUCAGCUCCUGACUCUCCUGGGGAGGAAGGGGCAUUGCUGGAACUGGGCUUCAGUGGUCAGCGGCCCAGCGGGGAAGAACGCUCCUUGCCCACCUCUCUGCCUUUGUCCCACCAGGAUGCAUUGGGGCUGAGGGCCGGGGCUGCCCCCUGGAAAUUGCUUAUAGAGCUCAGGAAAUGAGGUUCCUGGACUCUGGGAACCUUGUACCCAUUCAGAUGCACCGCAUGUAAAAAGAAAGAAAACCACUAAAGCUCCUGGCACUAGACGACUGCUGGCAGCCUGCCUCCCAGGUCAUCUUGACAUGCUGGCUGAGAACUGCCGUGCCUUCAGCUGACUAUAGUCCUGAAGCCAGACAGAGUUGAGAAAGAAAAUAUUAACCGGAAAUAGGAAAGUCAUUGUAAAUUUUACCACUAAGAGUGGUUUCAAAAUCCAAAACGUCUUAUGUUUCAAACCUCCUGAUUAGUUUACAUU
rnacentral:lncRNA from 1 species